CUCCGCCUUCUUACCGGCCGCCCUGAGGGGUCUCGGCGCGCUCGGCUGAGAGCUUUAGGAGGCGCGAGCGAGCACUCCGACUAGGCCGGAGGGACUCGGAAAAUGAUGGUCCGGCAGGUGGUGGGUCCUGACCCAAGGGCCUGCAAGGAACGGAGAAGGGCAACCGAGCACGCGCUGGAUCUUGGGGAAGAAGGGGAAAGGGACUGCUGGAGGAGGCGCGCAUGCGCCGUGCGGUCCUUCGCCCCGGGCGCCCUGGCAGGGGGCGAGGCUCUGCGGAACUCCCGGAGCUGGCGCCAGGGAACAAGUCUCAGUGGAGAGCCUCGAAUUUUAAAAGUCUCAUUUAAGUAUUUCUUUUGGUUUUCCUUGUAUAAAUAUAGCUAACUUUUAAACAUU
rnacentral:lncRNA from 1 species